GAUGAACGCUGGCGGCGUGCCUAAUACAUGCAAGUCGAGCGAACAGACGAGGAGCUUGCUCCUCUGACGUUAGCGGCGGACGGGUGAGUAACACGUGGAUAACCUACCUAUAAGACUGGGAUAACUUCGGGAAACCGGAGCUAAUACCGGAUAAUAUAUUGAACCGCAUGGUUCAAUAGUGAAAGACGGUUUUGCUGUCACUUAUAGAUGGAUCCGCGCCGCAUUAGCUAGUUGGUAAGGUAACGGCUUACCAAGGCAACGAUGCGUAGCCGACCUGAGAGGGGGAUCGGCCACACUGGAACUGAGACACGGGCCAAACUCCCACGGGAGGCAGCAGUAGGGAAUCUUCCGCAAUGGGCGAAAGCCUGACGGAGCAACGCCGCGGGAGGGAUGAAGGUCUUCGGGUCGUAAAACCCUUUUUUUAGGGAAAAAAAAAAGGGGAAGGAAAUGUGCGCGGUUUGACGGUAACUAAACAAAAAGCCACGGGUAACUACGUG
rnacentral:rRNA from 1 species